CAUGUGCUCCACUGAAGUCUGUUCUCCAGACCAGCGCCGCUGCAAUGAGGGUUGCUUUGAUGGGAGAGACACUCCCAUCUCAGUCGACCCCAGUAUGAGACUGCGCUGUGCUGGUAAUCCCUGCCCAGGGAGGGUGAUGCUGGAGGGAGCCUAGUGAAGGAGCUCAGAGCCCAGGCAGGAAACUCAGCCCUAAGACUACAGUAACCAUUUCAAAUAAAGAGAACAAACCCA